rnacentral:lncRNA from 1 species
UGGGCUUGGGCUGGUGACGCGUGCGCCGGCCGGCCGCCGAGGGGCUACCGUUCUGCCUCCGACCGGUCGUGUGUGGGUUUACUCGGAGGUGCUUUGCCUCUGAAGAAAAGAGAGAAAGCCUUCUCUAGCGAUCCAAGACCCCCUCCGCCGCGAGUCAGCUCUCCGCCCGCUCCCUUGCCGAGUCGCGACCGGUGCGGACGACGGCGUUUGCGUGGCACGUGGUCGGGCCGCCUGGCCCUGGGAAAGCGUCCCACGGUGGGGGCGCGCCGGUCUCCCGGAGCGGGACCGGGUCGGAGGAUGGACGAGAAUCACGAGCGAUGUGGCCCUGGCGUUGAGUUUGUGGCUGUGGUCGCUUCGGGGCCCCGGUGGCGGGACCAGGGGCUCGUGACCUCUCUCCUCCCCGAGCGGCUCACCGGCUUUACGUCGGUUGGUGGCCGCGUCUGGGACCGAACCGGGCACCGCCUUGUGGAAAAAAAAGAAUAGAAUAUACCCUGUUAAAUCAGACAUGAUACUUGCUUUUGUGGAGCUUAUGCUUUAGUGCAGAAACAGAAAGUCAAGCAAAAACUCAAACUAUGUAACUUUAAAUUGGAUAUGUGCUAAUGAAGGAAAAUGUGGCACUGUAAGAAAAAAUAAUAGGGAGUUAAAGGAUAAAUAGGAGUUUGCUGGAUGAAAUUUAUGAAGAGCUGAAGAUUUCAAACAAAAGAAACUGAUGCAGGAGGGUGCAGCUUUGGAGUCAAGAAUGAAGUUCUAGGAGAUAGAGAGCAAAGAAAUGGUGGGAGAGGAGGUCAAGAAAUACUAGGCUUUAGAAUUUCACCAUAUGAAUUUUGGGAGAGAGGAGCACAGUUCAGCCCAUAACUAACACACGUGAUGAAGAAGACAUGCCAACAGAGGGUUAAUUCCAGAUAAAAUGAAAUGUUCCAAACAGUACGUUUGGUUAUAAUUCUGUCUUAAAGUUGUUGACGGAAUGAAGUUGAUAAUAGUGAGACCUUGUUGGUACAAGACUAUGUAACAUAACCUGCGCUUCUCAACAAAGAAUUGCUUUUCUGACUUCUGCACUCGAUAGCAAGACAAAUCUCUCCUCUGCCUUCUCCUUAUCAGACUACUCAACAUGAAGGCAAUAAGAAUGAAGACCUCUAUGUAUAAUAAUUGACUUCCACUUAAUAAAUGGUUCUUUCCUCCAGCUCACUUUAUUGUAAGAACCUUGGUGUCUGUAAUCGGCUCGGAACCCUUGCUGCUCUUUCACUGAAUAUCGCUGUCUGGAGGUUACUUGGUACACUGGUCGACAAAACCUUGAAAUGUUGAUGUUUAAGGGCUGUUGAUUGCUGGCAGCAAAGAAGUCCAACUGUGCUGGUACCCGAGAUAGCGUCUCCACAUUUUCUUCCAGGAUCAUCACCUUUGUUCUAAAUAGCUCCCACAUAGUGUGAACAGAAGUCAUAUGUUUUAGAUUUUCUGCCUUGGCACCCAGGAAACCAGUAUGAUUGAGUAAACAUAUUAAACUUCCUCUGCAUUUCCAGCCUGAACAGAUGUUGAGUACAAGCUGAUCCACCUACGUUCAACCUGAGAGAGUCCACAUCCACAGACUGUUUCAUUUCCCUUUUUCAAUUUACAUAGAAGCAUAGAUUCUUGCUGGCAUAUACAAAUGCGCCAUUUAAGGCAAUCAAAAAUGGUUCCACAUCUCAUCUGAUUUCCACAAUUGUUGCUGUAACGAUGGACUACUGAGGAGAGAGACAAUUUCUCUGGCACAUCUUCCCACAUUUUAGCAACAUGUUCAUGGAGAGCCAAUAUUCAGUAAUUACAGCCCAAUUCCUCACAAUUUCACAAUUCGCUAACAAUAUGCAUUUUCACAAUGUAAAGCUGAUUUUCCUUUAACCAAAUCAAACAUGAAAAGAUAGCUGCAUGCAAUGGGCAAUCUAGAUCAUUAGAAGAUUGAUGUAAAAUUAGAGGACACUGAGACUGGAAUAGAUUGCAAACUUCAGGGAGCUCAGAAAACUUGUAAACUCUACAUUUUGAGGAAAUAUGUUGUCGAUGCUUUUGCAACUCUAUGCAGUAACUUAACAAAUAAAGCCUUAAAGUAACUU